AUCCAUUUGACGAGUCCUAAAUGGGACGAAAGACCCAUCCUGGAU
rnacentral:hammerhead_ribozyme from 1 species